rnacentral:lncRNA from 1 species
CUGGAUUGGGGUGUAUGCAGUAAUGUGGAUGGGCCUUGAGGGGAAAAGGUGACCCAUCCGAAAAUGUGAGGGAGAUAAGAAGGCCUCAUGUGGAUUUCAAAAGGAAGCAUGUGCACGUUGAAACAAUGGCCAAUCUUUCAAAUGUCUGACCGAAGACACACCGUAUCCGCCGCACCGGAGGUCACCUUAGGCGGCGGCGGAAUGCUAAACUAAGAAAAUCAUACAUCAAUAUACUCGUUUCUUCAUCCUCAAUCCAUAUCCAUAAUCAAUUUCACCUAAAUUCCACCCUAAAGCUAAGACCGAGUCCAAAUUAACCAAGAAUCCUAACUGAAAAUUGAGAAAUUAAAUGCUCUCCUCUUGGAAUCAAAGUCCACUGAGUUGGGGCAUUGAUUCCUCAACCUCCAAGCUACAUUUCCGUAACUGAAUCGAAACAAAAGGUGGAGAAAAACAACUCAUGCUACCGGAGAAGAAUGCAUACGACGGUGAAUCUCUUGGUGAGUUCUUGCCUCUAACUCUUUAUCGUUUCCGAAUUCCAGGUCUUCCACUUUUUCUACUCUCCUUCUAUUGAUGCUACGUGAAUUGAAUGAGUGAAUCCUUAUGAUAAUUGUUGAUCUAUGAAUCACUCUUUGAGGAUUUGUUGUGAGGUUGGGAGGGUUUGUGAAUUGAUGAGAGAGUGACAAUUUCUGUAACUAAAUGAAAAUCCAUCAAAACCUCUCUACAUUGAUGAAUUUAUAACCCUCCAAGUUAACAGAGUUUUUGACUCUGUUAAUUAACCUCUAUGUAAGUUAGUUAUGGAACUCACAUUGUUAAUGAAUCAGUUAGGGUUAGAUAGGUCAUUCCAUGAUUAGUUAGUUAUUGGAGCAGUUAAUUUUGUUGACUAAUUCUACUAUGAAAACACUUACUAACAACUUGGCUCGAUAUUUGACAUCAGCUUGACUUGAAUCCUAUUAUGGAUUAGCAGCUGAAAAGUGUUAGGUUAGUAGGUUAAGUGUUUUGGCAAGUUGAAUUGGCUUCGUUAGUUUGAGAGGUGAGUUGAAACAUGAAAUGAUUUUGCAAUCUCAGGAAUUCAACCAAGGCAAUGUCAACUGCUAGCUUGGCAUUCUGCAGACUGCACCAUGAGCUAUUGUGAGGGUGGCUUAUGAAUGUGUGAAAGAGAUCUCACCUAGUUUCCACUUCUCUUAGCAACCAUAGGUUGGAUGCCAAACUGAUAUGCAGUCAGUGUAAUGAGGAACCAAUUUCCAUUUCUAUUAGCAACAAUAGGUUGACUCAUAUGUAUAUUGAUUUGUUGGAUUCAUGGCUUGAUAGAUAAAAGGUUACGUUCUUGUGUCAUGGGCUGCAUUAGAUUUUGUAAUGGCCUUGGAUUAUGCAUGAUAAAAGUAACCAUGGAAACCAAUCUUGGAUUAGUUUCAUGUUUAAAACAAAUGGUAACCAUGUUUAAAACUUUUAUGGCAAUUGCUUAAUGAUUUCUUGAUGCGAGUUUGUAACUAUGUGAAGUAUUAUUAUGGAUCAAAAUUGUGAUGCAUUGUUGGUUUAUUAUUAUGGUUUAAGUUAUAGCUAGCCCAAGUUCAAACAUUUUCAUGGCAUGUUGACUACAAAAUGGAGAAUCAAGCCCAAAUGGUUAAAUCAAGACCAAAAUGGACAUGAAGAAUGAAAUGUAGAACUAGGAUUAACCAUUUAGUGGUUUAGGAUGAAAAAGGACUUGGGUUGACUUUGGUCAAACUUGACUAAAAAGUCAAUUGUUCACCAAAGUCAACAUUUGGUCAACAUGUAAUUUUUUGGAUUUUUUUGUAUGUAAUGAACAUUUAUGGAUGAUAAUGGAUACAAAUGACUAUUUGAAUAAAAAAUUAAUGGGUUUAGUAUAUGAAUAUGUUACUUGAAUUUGAAUUUGAAUGAA